rnacentral:lncRNA from 1 species
UCAGCCUAUCUUUACGCACGAUUCAACAAAAUUAAAAAGCUGACUGCCAAAGAUUUUGCAGACAUACCUAACUUAAGAAGACUCGAUUUUACAGGAAAUUUGAUAGAAGAUAUAGAAGAUGGUACUUUUUCAAAACUUUCUCUGUUAGAAGAACUUUCACUUGCUGAAAAUCAACUACUAAAACUUCCAGUUCUUCCUCCCAAGCUCACUUUAUUUAAUGCAAAAUACAACAAAAUCAAGAGUAGGGGAAUCAAAGCAAAUGCAUUCAAAGUAAGUAUUUUAUAGUAAAACUAAGCAUAGUAUGAGUGAUGAUAUGAUAGAUAAAAGAGAAACUUUGGUCUAGAAUUGUAUUUUGAUUACACUUAAAAACUAUUUUGAUUUAAUAAAUGAAGACAUUAUUUACAUAAUAAAUAACCAUCCUAUUAGGCUCAUUCAGCCUAGCUUAUACCCAUAUCUCAGUUAAAAUACAUAACCUUUAUUUUA